AUUGAACGCUGGCGGUAUGCUUAACACAUGCAAGUCGAACGAUGAGAAAGAGCUUGCUCUUUCGAUUAGUGGCGGACGGGUGCGUAACGCGUAGGAAUCUACCUAUUAGUGGGGGACAACUUAGGGAAACUUAAGCUAAUACCGCAUACGCCCUACGGGGGAAAGAAGGGGAUCGCAAGACCUUUUGCUAAUAGAUGAGCCUGCGUAGGAUUAGCUAGUUGGUGGGGUAAAAGCUCACCAAGGCGACGAUCCUUAACUGGUUUGAGUGAAUGGUCAUUCACACUGGAACUGAAACACGGGCCAGACUCCUACGGGAGGCAGCAGUGGGGAAUAUUGGACAAUGGGCGAAAGCCUGAUCCAGCAAGACCGCGUGUGUGAAGAAGGCCUUAGGGUUGUAAAGCACUUUCAAUUGGAAGGAAAACCUCGAAGCUAAUACCUUCGAGUUUGACAUUACCUUUAGAAGAAGCACCGGCUAACUCCGUGCCAGCCGCCGCAGUAAUAC
rnacentral:rRNA from 1 species